GACGAACGCUGGCGGCGUGCUUAACACAUGCAAGUCGAACGGGCCUGCCUGGCUUUGGUUGGGUGGGUGAGUGGCGAACGGGUGAGUAACACGUGAGUAACCUGCCCUCUUCUCUUGGAUAACUGCUUGAAAGGGCGGCUAAUACGGGAUGUUCUGGCUGCCUCGCAUGGGGUGGUUUGGAAAGAUUCGGCCUGGUUUUGGUUGUUUUGGUGGGGGAUGGGCUCGCGGCUUAUCAGCUUGUUGGUGGGGUGAUGGCCUACCAAGGCGGUGACGGGUAGCCGGCCUGAGAGGGUGGACGGUCACACUGGGACUGAGACACGGCCCAGACUCCUCGGGAGGCAGCAGUGGGGGAUUUUGCACAAUGGGCGCAAGCCUGAUGCAGCGACGCCGCGUGAGGGAUGGAGGCCUUCGGGUUGUGAACCUCUGUCGCCGGUGAUGUAG
rnacentral:rRNA from 1 species